rnacentral:lncRNA from 1 species
AUCUGGACAUUACUUCUGAAUUUGACAAAAGUCAAAGACAGCAACCAUUGAAUUUUGUCUUUGUUUUAAUAUUGACUUUUCUUUCUUUUGCCAAAGGAGGUAUAGGUCUUUGGAUUCACAGAAAAAAAAAAAAAAAGAGCUCAAUAUUGAUUUUCAUACACAAAUUUAUUUUUCAUUGAGAUACUAAAGGGACUAUAUAGUAACAAGGAGGAAAAUGUUCUUCUUUUCCUGGUAGUUGAGUCUCCUUAACUGUGAGAAAUUAUACCCUGUUCUCUUUCUCUUGUAAAAAAAAACAGACCACCAGGACUAACACUGUCAUUUUACCCAGAAGCAUUGAGGCGUAUGAAUGUCACUUUUUUUUUUUUCCUGACUGCACCUGCGGUACGCAGAGGUUGCUGAGCCAGGGAUUGAAGCUGUGCCAUAACAGCGACCUGAGCCACAGCAGUGACAACACUGGAUCCUUAACCCACUGAGCCACCAGGGAAGUCCUGAAUGGACUUCCUAUUAGAAACAGUUAAGAUUUGAGGCUAUUACGGAGAUGGAGAAAGACAGGAGAGCAUGGAGUACACAAGUGGCUCCCUCUGAACCAUUCAAAUCCUUUGCGGUGGAUUCUAGAAAGGGCCCAGAGUCAUCGGUGGGGAGAGCUUAUCCCUGUUUUAAAGGCCGCUUGAAAUACAAGGGAUUAUUUUAUCUAGAAGGAGAGACCCCAGCUGAGACUGUGGUUGGUAAGGAAGCUGGGUCACCUGCAUUCAGCUGGGUCACCUGGGGGCCAGGGUGGGGGAUGUUUUGUCACCUCUGUAGCUGGGCAAAGUUUCUGUUUUGUCUGUUCAGGCAUGGUGAGGGAAUGGUCUUGUGUUGUCUCAAUCCAUCCUGGUUGCAGAGUGGCCUUCUCUGAUGCUGACGUUCUGUGAAAUUAUUUGUGUUCAUCGGGGGAACACCAAGGCAUAGUGUGAGCAUCAGGCAAGUCUGGAUUUUUGGGGGUUUCUUGCUCACAUGAGGAGCCACGGGUCCGUAUCCUGUGGCAGUGUUCGUAGAUGUGCAGCCUGUCUGAUAAGAAGGAGGUGAAAGCCAGGGGCUGCUCCAUACUGCUCUCUCUUUCUGCUUCUUUGUGUAAAGACCAAAUAAAAUCACUCCUCAUCUUUCAAAUUUAUAUGUCCUCAGUUCAAGUGAGAGCCAGAAACUAACUAGGAUCUCAGAAUUCUGACUCUGAACUCCCUGGAGAGAGAACAUGAUUUCCCUAUUUAGGUCAAGUGACUGUGCCUUUCCAAUAACUUAUUAUUUUUUUCUUUUUAGGGCCACACCUGUGGCAUGUGGAGGUUCCCAGACUAGAUGUUAAAUCAGAGCUGCAGCUGCCGGCCUACACCACAGCCACAGCAAUGCUAGAUUUGAGCCAUGUCUGCAACCUACAGAAUAGCUCAUGGAAACACCAUGUCUUUAACCCACUGAGCAAGGCCAGGGAUUGAACCCACAACCUCACAGACACUGUGUCAGGUCCUUAACCCACUGAGCCACAAUGGAAACUCUUCCAAUAACUUCUGACUGGGAGAGAAGGAUGGUGCUAGAGAAGCAUUAUUCCUAAGGCCCACUCUGUAAGGGAGAGCAGAGAACUUAGAGAAGGAAGUCAUGUGCUGGGCAGUGCCUAGUACAGGGACAGCUUAUCCUCAGCAAUAGGGUAGAAUAACAACAAAGCUAAUGCUUUAGUGCUUUAUAGAAGCAAAGCAUUUCCAUCAUGAUUUUUAACCCUUCCUACCACUCUCCGAAAUAGGUAUUAUUUAUUUCAACUUAAAAAAGAGGAAGGUGAAGGUUAGCAGGGGUUUAGAGAUUUUCCCAAGCCCAUUUAGCCUGUGAAUCUAGAUCCCAAACACCAUGAUUCUCAGGACAGCUCUCUCUCCAUUAUGACGGCGAGAAUGUUUUUCCAGGCCCUGAAGACGCGCUGACGAGGGAUCCCUGGGGAUUUGCUCACAGUGAAAGUGAGGAGAAAGUGGACCCAGCUUUCAGAAAGCCUCUGCUGUUGGAGUUGGAGCCCAGGGCAGGAGCCAUGUGAGACCAGCAGACAGGCAGGCUUGGGGAACUCCUGUAGGUGAUGGAAGUGCUUUUCCUCCAGAAGGAGAGAGAGGUGGUAGAAAAGGGAAGAAAGAAACAUAAGAAGGCAGCUUUUCUGAUAUAUGGAGGGUAUGAUAAAGCACAGGAACCCUCAAUGAGGUCAGAGAAACUAUCAAAUAAACCACUGGGAAGCCUGGGGGCCUGGGGACAGGAUGGUGAGGAGAGCACAGGAUGACUCAGUGUCAUGUGACAGUGCAACCUCUUCUCCUACUGUCUUGUCUUUUACACAGAGAUUAAAGUGAGGAUCUUACUUAGGCGGGCAGAGAGAAUAAUGGCAGGAUGGCCGGAAUUCCCUCCAGUCUCCAGCCCUGUGAUCUAUGAUUUUAAUAAGCUCCACAAUGCAGGACACCCUAUAAAACUGUCCCUGGAGCUGCACUCUCUCCAGGUCCCAGGGGUGGCAGCAAUUUUGCAUUGAACUGCUUUGCAUUUUAUAGAUUUGGUUCUUUCUUACUUAAGUAGGCUAUUCUUGGGGAAAAUGCUGUAAUAAUCAUCGCAUCCUACAGAGCUCGGCACUGCAGCCACCGACAUGUAGAUGUCCCACUGUGUCCCGGUGGCUCACAGUGUCAUUCAUCAUCGAUAAGCCUCUAAUCAGAUUCGAGCUGUGACUUGGUCACGUGGAGGAUUUUAAACCAGCCCCCCUCCCCCUGGGUCAUUUCCCACUUGGGGUUCGAAGGAGUGAAGAGCUAGUUAGGUGAUCCCUAGGUUUAUAGCAGGUGGAAUUCAAAAGGGCAUCAGAGCAUUUGAGGAAGUUUAUACAAAAAGGUAAGCCCCCCCCCCCAGUAAGAUGAGGACAAAGGUAGCGUGCUCAGGGCAUUUUUUUUCUCUUCCUGCUUCCAUUUAAGAAAGAAUCAAUUUAUUAUAUUUUUGGCUUCUCACUCUGAAAGCUAGAGCUGAUUUUAAGGAAUUAGUAAAUUAAUCGGUUCAGUUCUGCCCUUUGUCUCAGGGCACAGAUGUUCCCUGGCUGCAGCGGGAGAGCCUGAGGCUUGAUUGGUGGGAGGGACUCGGAAAGGGCAGUGUUCCAGCCCGCAGACCAAACCCCACAGCCCCCUCUGUUGUUUGAAAGUGUUGAGGAAGUGUUUGCGACCCCCAGGAUGUUUCUGGUAACAUCCAUGGGGACAGCUGUGGACGGUCCUUGCUGGGGAGAGCAGACAAGCACACUCCAGAGAGUCUGGAGUCUGGGUUCGCAGCUCCUUUGACACAGCACGUGGUUAAUGAAUGAAGGGAUAAGUCCGCCGAAUGAUCCCCUUCCCACCCAUGGUGUCCUUGUGCAGAAUUCUGAACCCUGUGCAGUUUGUCUCUGGUGCUCCACCAUCGCUUCAGCAUCCCCAGGUGGCCCACUGCCUCCCUGGGAUCACCCACGCCCGCCCUCCAAGCCCUGCUCACCUCCACAGCCCGGGGCAGUGCCACCCUGCCCAAUUCCGCCCCAGUUCUGCUCACGCAGCACGGUGGCUCCAGAGAGCAAGGAGGGAGGCCCUGUCCUGGAUGCUUAGCUUGCUCUUCUGACCCCGAGUCCUUUGUCCACCAAGACCUGCGCUGUCUUCCCUUUUCUGCUGUGACCUCAUGGUUUGCAGACCAUGCAGUUGCUCCUCCCUCCUAUGACAAAUCCAUGGGCUUAGUCCCUAGGUCAGAAGUCAAAAGCCAAGAUUCCAUGGCAUGAGAAAGUCCACACCCUCACACUGCUGUGUGGCCAUCUGAUGCCCUGGCUGUAGUUCACCGCCAUCCCAGGCAAGCUCCCACCUGGACAUCAGCCCAACUUCUUCCCACCUUCACUCGAAACUAACAAGCUGACAGUUUUGCUGCUGGUCCCCUGGCCUGAUCCUCUCCCUGGUGCCUUAUGCCACCUGAGUGACCCAGGACUUGGGGACAGGCCCUGGAGAGGGGCUGGACCUCAAGGGAGCACCUAGGUUCCCAUUCAUUCACAGAGCCAUCCUGUUUAUCUCGGGAAUUCUUUCCCACAGCCCUAGGAGAGCUGCUUCCUAACUAGAACUGCAAUUUUCCUCUCAAAAGGAUUUAAAAUUAGAUCUUUGUUCUCCAGCCUCAUUUCUUGCCUCAAGAUAUAGAUGGAGACUGUCACUUUCUCCAUCACAAGUUGGCUAUGGAAACAAUAUUUACCUCGUUAAUUUGCCUUUUAGGACAUGGAAUAAAACAUCUGUAUCCAUCAACAUUUUAGAUUUCUGCAGACCCCCAGUGAACAGAUGUGCUGUAGCCUACGAAAAGAACAGGCUUAGAGGCAGUGCAUGUGUGUGCGUAUGUGUGUGUGUGUGUGAGUGUGUGUGUGUCCCCUUAUUCUCCUGACACUACUAUGAAAGUAAUCCUGAAAUCGUGAAAGGCAGGGCUGGGGCUCUCAGAGUGCAGAAAGAUGAGCUUGUCUGCUUCUGUCUAGUGGCCCUGAGGAUAAUUUAGACUGUGCCUAUUUAGUUGUACCAACUGAAAGGAGAGGAAAGGUAGGGACUAAAUCAUAGAGACUCCUGUGAAAGCUUCAAGAGAGGAUGCUUGGUGUUGAGGCUCUGGUCACUCCACUGCCUCCACCCGUGGAAAAGCGCUUUUGUACCUGAACUUUAGGAUCACACUGGUGUCCCAUUACUUUUUCAUCCCCAGAUUCUUUAAACAUGGUCAGGUAUGCAGCCUGUCAGCUGAGUGCCGAAUUGAUGAGGGGGUAGAGGGCAGAACUUAUUUUUGUUGUCACGCAAGGACAUCUGAGAGUACAAUUUAUUCUCAGCCAGAUCAUGUGUAGGGGGUGGUUCUUCCUUCCUACCCGUCUUGUGGGUACCCAUGCUUCUGUAAUUCUAACCUAACCAUCCUUUAAAUUUGCACCUGCGAUUGUACCUCAAAAGGUGCUCUAUAUUUUUUGAUGAAUACUCUAGGUAGGUACCACCUGCUUUUUAGCUGGAAUCUACCAGUAUUGAUCAUUUCUUGGGAAGAAUGAAAACUCUAACGUGUAAAGCCUGGAGUCUCUAUGGGCAAAGAUGGCUCAUAGACAGUCAUUGUGAAGCAAGAGGGAGCCUGAAUGACACACAUUUUGUCAGGACAGUGGCCCCAGGGACUGAACUCUGACCAACUGUACCUUGAAAAAGCCACGGUGAAAAAUCAGUGAGCUGAUAAUUGAGGAAGAGCUAGCGGGGAACUGAGGCAGUCAGUUCUGCUCCAAGGUAGAGGAGAAAUAGUUGUCUUGGUUAAAGACUGCCUGAGUACUUUGGGGGUGGGGCGGCAUGGGAGUAGGGGGCUGAUGAGGGAUGGAUGGUUUGUUCUGAAAGUUAUUUUCAGGGCUGGAAUUGACUCCAGAGUAUUUUUUUGCCCACUCCAGCAAAUCAUCAGCCCUGCUCUUGUGAUGAAAUAAAAUACACUUUCACAAAUUCCCCAGCUCCACUUAUAUUUCAGGGUUUGAUUAAUUUUCGACUUUCUGUUGUUUGCUUUUUGAGGAAUCACUGCAAGGAGGCUCCACAUCAACAUUUUCCUUCUCAGAGCAAGAUGCAGUUUUGCAAAAGUCUGGGAAGGGAAGGGGUGUUAGUGGACAAAGCAGAGACUGAGCACUAACCCUGUCAGUAGACCAGGCAGAGCCCCUCGUGCUAACACAAGGCCAAACUGAAGCCCUGGAGUCACGCUUGCAGAUGCUGACUUGAGGGAGCUAGUUUAGUGUAAUACGUCAUGAUUCAAGAGUUAGCCAGGAGGAGUUCCUGUCGUGGCACAGCAGGAAACAAAUCCGAUUAGGAACCAUGAGGUUGCAGGUUCAAUCCCUGACCUCGCUCAGUGGGUUAAGGAUCUGGCAUUGCCUUGAGCUGUGAUGUAGGUCGCAGACGUAGCUCGGGUCGAAUCCUGUAUCACUGUGACAGCUGUAGCUCUGAUUGAACCCUAGCCUGGGAAUUUCUAUAUGCUGCAAGUGCGGCCCU